ACAGAUGUGCAGGGUUUUCUGCAGUAACACUCUUAUUCGGGUAUACUCAGUGGAAACAGCCAAUAGAUAGAACAGAAGCUAUUCUCAGACACAUAUCAGCCAGCAAAGUUAGUUUAUUACAUCUGGGGAAAAAUGUCUCACCCUUUAAUGAGCUGUGGCAAAUUAUUUCCAGAAUAGCUGGGGAACUCUACAAAGUAUUCUGAGAACACGCUAUCACUUCUCAUAACAGAUAAAGCCCAAAAGGCACUGUUUAGUCAGAGAUAUUAACUAUUAAACAUAAUUUAAGAAUUCAUAGAGCCAUCUGAAAUCAUAUACGUAGGCCUAGAAUUUAAGGAAAUGAGAGUAGCAGCGGGAGUAAAAAUAUUGAACUUGUCCUAAGAGAUGCUGUGUUAUGAGUAAUACCACACAAUUGCACUGAUUCUUUUCCUUCGUGAAAGAAAACAGAUGUUUUAAAUCUGGUGUCUUUAUAUGCAGGCAGACUAUUAUGCUCUGUAAAUAGGUUUAAAAUGUCCUAACAUUUCUGAGGCUUUCUUAUUUCUUGCUCAUUUACCUCACUUCAGAUUGCUUUCUUACUUUCCCCCUUCCCAUUAAAUUAUUCAAGAACUCCUGUUUAUAAAGGUCACAGUCAUAAAAAUCAGAGAAUGGGAGAACUAGCAUGUGAUUCUAGAGACCAGUGAGGCAGCACGCAAAGUGGAUUGUGAAGGACUCAUAAAAAGUAAGGCCAGGAGGAACCAUUAGAUCAUCUAAUCUGAUCUCUGGAUUCAGGGAGGCCUACAACUUGGAGAAGACAACCCUUUCCUUAAGCUCCUUCCUAGCUUUGAUAAAGAAGCAAUUUGACCCUACCGCUGUCUGGGGGCUCAGAUGAAGGAGCUGCAACAAGCAGAAACAACUGAAGAAAGACUCAUGAGCUGCAUUAUAUGAUUUGUUGCUAAUAGAUCCCAGUUGAGUCAAAUUAAUAAGGAUACUGCCUAAUUAAGCCACAUCUUAUGCCUUAAAAAAACAAACAAACAAACAAAAAAACCCCACACAACAGAAGUUCCUUUUGCAUGCCAGGGACAACAGAUGUAUUUGGCCAGUGCUUACCCUGAUGUCCUCAUUAUUUUCCUUGAUAGUUUUGUUCUGGUCAUUAAUCAUUUGCAUCAUUGGAAAUAGAAGUAAAACAUGGUAAAAAGUGACUAACUUCUUAUUUAAAUGCAUCUUACUUCAACUUCCUACCACGGGUUAUGAUUUAUUCCACAUGUGGAAAAAGUCCUUUAAUAUCCAGUGGUACUGCAGGAUAUUCAGGCUACCGUCCUUACUUUUCACAGUCUUAAAUAGUCGCUGCUAUUCUGUACAGUAUUUAGACAAUAUUUGUGACUGUUUUGUACCUUCACCAGGUUUAAAAGUGAGCCCUAGAUCUGUGUAUCACUGAUUUCACUAUCAUUGAACAGACAAACUCCGUGCUGCUCCUCCUAAUGU
ensembl:lncRNA